GACGAACGCUGGCGGCGUGCCUAAUACAUGCAAGUAGAACGCUGAAGCUUGGUGCUUGCACCGAGCGGAUGAGUUGCGAACGGGUGAGUAACGCGUAGGUAACCUGCCUGGUAGCGGGGGAUAACUAUUGGAAACGAUAGCUAAUACCGCAUAAUAGUAGAUGUUUCAUGACAUUUGCUUAAAAGGUGCAAUUGCAUCACUACCAGAUGGACCUGCGUUGUAUUAGCUAGUUGGUGAGGUAACGGCUCACCAAGGCAACGAUACAUAGCCGACCUGAGAGGGUGAUCGGCCACACUGGGACUGAGACACGGCCCAGACUCCUACGGGAGGCAGCAGUAGGGAAUCUUCGGCAAUGGACGGAAGUCUGACCGAGCAACGCCGCGUGAGUGAAGAAGGUUUUCGGAUCGUAAAGCUCUGUUGUAAGAGAAGAACGAGUGUGAGAGUGGAAAGUUCACACUGUGACGGUAUCUUACCAGAAAGGGACGGCUAACUACGUG
rnacentral:rRNA from 1 species